UGGAGGUCGCAGUGAGCCAAAAUCAAACCACUGCACUCCAGCCGGGGUGACAGGGCAAGACUCCAUCUCAAAAAAAAACAAAAACAAAAAAGCCAGAGAGACAGAGAGAAAAGACCAUUUUGAAGAUGAAAUUUGAUUUUUGGAAGACUAUUAAAUAUGUUAAAGGUUUAAGGCCACCGCGCCACCUGGCCUAUUUUAUCAAUAAUUUUUAAGCUGUUUUUAUUUUCCAAAGAUUACUAAAGUUACAUGAAUAAAAGGCAUUACAGUUUUUAUUUUAAAAUAUUUAAGUGCUUAUUUUUGUUUAAGCCAAUUAGAGCUCUUUUAUAUAAACAUUACACACACAACAACACAUAUAUAACUACACAGACAGACUGAAGAAGAUUACUACAGUAGUUGUAAGAUUUUUUCCCAGUUUUUAAGUUUCUUAAUUGGAUUAUUCACUUUAGGGCGGAGUCCUCGGAGGAACAGGGCCAGGAAAGGGUCUCUGGUGCCUCCUGUUUUUCCCAAGGAGCUCCAGGCUGUUAGAGCCUGAAUAUCUGCUUUUAAUUAAGCUGACUUUUAACCAUAGAACUCUUUAAUAAAGUCUUUCUAAAAUUUCUUAUUACCUGACUUUAGCCAGGCCAAAUGGCUGAUAUUUCUGGCUUUUAAACUUUACCAAAAGUAACCUCAUAGGUGCUCUGAGAAGGGAAAAUUCAAGACAGUUGGUGGAGGGGAAGAGAAUUUAAAAAUGGCAAAGGUCACCCAAAUAUUAAUCAGAAAGGUUCAUCCCUUAAUCUAGGGAUUGAACCCUGAACCCGGGCCGCCAUUCUGAAAAGAGAAAGCAUGGCCACAUAAUUACAAGGUCAAGCUCCCAAGGACAUAACUGACCAAUUUGCUGAGCCAUCUUGUAAAGUGGGCUUAUGGGCGUCCUAAGCCUGUGUUCUAUCCUAAGGUACCCCUCUUUAUGACAGAACAACACAGAAAGACACGCAAAGCACACCAGAUUUGCUACAGUUUAAGACCAGCCUCACAAAUCCUUUCUUCCAUUAAUCAAAAUUUACAGAGGAGAUAAACAGUGAUUUUUACCAUUCAUUCAAUGAGUUUGCACAGAGAGAGAGAGAGAGAUCAGAAGUCUGACUGGUAAGAAAUUCUUACCCUUUUGCCGGCAUACCAGGCUUCUGGGUUCUCUUUCCCUGAGUGGCCCUAAUGACCCAGCUGGCUGCACCAUAGUCCUGGGGGCCAAGACACAACACAAAGGAAAAUUUUCUUUUUUCAUUCUGGCCAGAGCAAAAUAUGUGUGAUAAAACACAGACAUUAGCCACUCUGCUUAGCAGCCAAUAUCAAACUGGCAAGACUUAAAUUUGCCCCCAGAUGGGCCCCAUUGUCUUUAAUCCAACCUCUGACUAGGAGUUUCAACAUAUGGUCUCUGGGCAAGAUGGUUUCCCUGAGUAACAGAAAAGAUAGGAAAGGAAAGGUAGAGAAAUAAAAGUAUUACCCAUGGCAGGAUGGGGAAGGUGAAGAGCUCAGGAAGGCCAGAGCAAGACCGACUCUUUGCAGCAAUACUGCAAAGUUCAGGCGGCCGAAUGUCAGUAGCAAAGAUGUCUUUUCCAGCAGUCCCAUCAGCUCUCAAGUUUCCCCAUUUGGGAGGAAAAAUCUCCCUAUGUGCCACUAUCCUGUACAUACAUGCCUAAUCUUGUCACCCACAACCAUCAGCAAAGAGUACAAGGCAAAUUAUUCCAAAGAGAAUAGCAGUUAACAUUCCAUAGUGCCUAACCCGUUCUUAGCCAAAAGGGACUUUACUGAGAGCCCUCAUUUUAAAAUGUACUUCAAUGUGUUGCUCAUUCAGAACAUUCCAC
rnacentral:lncRNA from 1 species